GCUAAGAUGAGCUCAGUCAGUAGAGCAUGAGAAUCUUAAUCUCGGGGUUAUGGGUUCAUGCCCCAUGUUGGGUG
rnacentral:tRNA from 1 species